rnacentral:rRNA from 1 species
UACGUAGGGUGCAAGCGUUGUCCGGAAUUAUUGGGCGUAAAGGGCUCGUAGGCGGUCCAUCGCGUCGGGAGUGAAAAGCUGGGGCUUAACCCCAGUCCUGCUUCCGAUACGGGUGGACUAGAGGUAGGUAGGGGAGAACGGAAUUCCUGGUGUAGCGGUGAAAUGCGCAGAUAUCAGGAAGAACACCCGUGGCUAAGGCGGCUCUCUAGUACGGUACUGACGCUGAGACGCGAAAGCGUGGGGAGCGAACAGG